AGUGAACGCUGGCGGUAGGCCUAACACACGCAAGUCGAACGGCAGCACAGUAAGAGCUUGCUCUUACGGGUGGCGAGUGGCGGACGGGUGAGGAAUACAUCGGAAUCUACUUUUUCGUGGGGGAUAACGUAGGGAAACUUACGCUAAUACCGCAUACGACCUACGGGUGAAAGCAGGGGAUCUUCGGACCUUGCGCGAUUGAAUGAGCCGAUGUCGGAUUAGCUAGUUGGCGGGGUAAAGGCCCGCCAAGGCGACGAUCCGUAGCUGGUCUGAGAGGAUGAUCAGCCACACUGGAACUGAGACACGGUCCAGACUCCUACGGGAGGCAGCAGUGGGGAAUAUUGGACAAUGGGCGCAAGCCUGAUCCAGCCAUACCGCGUGGGUGAAGAAGGCCUUCGGGUUGUAAAGCCCUUUUGUUGGGAAAGAAAAGCAGAAGGUUAAUACCCCGCUGUUCUGACGGUACCCAAAGAAUAAGCACCGGCUAACUUCGUG
rnacentral:rRNA from 1 species